UUAAUCUCUGUUUUACAGCAGACAAGCCCGGCUCCGAAGCGGAGUAAUUUGCCCAAGGUCACAUGGCAAAUAAAUGUGUGUCUCCAGGAUCUGCCCCAUUCCUGGCCCCGUGCUCUUCUUUUGCUUGGCUGUGCAAAGUUUAGAACCAGACCCAGAACUUCUUUGGGGUCAGACCCAGGUCCAGGGGAGGCUGGAAAUAGGCUGGAGAGCCGGAGAGUCGUAAGGGCCUGUCCUCAUGGGCCUGUGCCUGCCUCCGUGCGUGGUUUGCGGAGGAGGGAGGAUGGGGCUUUUUCUGGGAAGGACUCUAGAUUCGGGUCUGGUCUCUCCAGAACUCCCCGUUGGCUCAGCUUUGCUUGGGCUCACAUGUGCCUCCAGUAUCUGAGCCAUGCUCCAUCCGCACGAGGUGCUUCCACUCGCUCCCUCACCAGGGCUGGAAAUUUCCAAGCUAUCUGGGGCUCCUGCCUCUUCCUCCUUUCCCCGCAGCUUGUCAGAAGCCCAUCCCGCUUCAGAUGACUCUGGAGUUCGUCCCCUGCUCCAUCCCCAAGGGGCGCCGGCUCAGCUCCGUCCUCCUCCUCUCCCACAUGGACAUCCUGCUUCGUGAGUGGCCUCCCAGCUGGGCCUGGGGACCAGGAGCCUGGGUGGAGGGCUGCUUCGGAGGCCAGCCCCGCGGUGACUCUCUUCCUCUCCCUGGUCCAGGCUCUGAGGCCUAAGGCCCUGCCUGGCCCGCAGCUCCCUGUGAGCCCCUCACUCCUCCACGGCUGGCUUUCCGACUGCAGCAAGCGAUUCAUUGGCUCCAGAAAGGUCGAAUAUUGGCAGUUGUAUUUUCACCCAAGCCAACUCCAUGAAGUCCCCGUUGGCCUUCCUCGGUGCUGCAUCCCCUGGGCUGGUGGCUGUGUCCUGUACACAGUGGGACCUCCGUCUAUCAGGGGAAUGAGUGAAACCUGGAUUAUUAGCUCAAAACGCACGAGGACUCACUCAGACGUUCCCCACAGCACUGAUACCUGGGAUUCAGCCAUCAGCUCCCGGUGCCGAGACUUGGUGGUAACCCAGCUGGGGCAGGAUCGGCCCGACUUGCUGCCUUCUGCUUCCGUUCAGCUGGGACUCCCCCUGGGUGCACAUCCCCGCCAGUGUCAACGGCCACCAGUGCUUUCCCUCCACUUGCCUUCCUGACACAGACACAGCAGUUGGCUCCAGUUGGGGAAGGGAGCCACCCCUCUCCUCCGCCCUCUUGCUGGAGGCCCCACAGCAGGACUACUUGCCUCUCCAGGACCCAGAACUUACGACAGAGAGCAGCAGCUUCGUGUUGCCAAGUUGGCUGGGUCAGCAAGGGCCCCCCAAUGAGCCACCGGGUCUUAUUUCUGAAUUUGCCUUCGAUUGGUAACAAGUGACAAAUUGCUUCUUUUCUUUUUGAUAGGUUAUCUUUCGUUGGUCCCUAAUUCCUCCUUUAAAUUUUUCUCAUUUACAUUUUAAAAGUAAUACAGGUUUGAAAAUGAAUUCAAAGGGAUCCCUGGGUGACUCAGUGGUUUAGUGCAUGCCU